GUGUCAGCAGCCGCGGUAAUACGUAGGUGACAAGCGUUAUCCGGAAUUACUGGGCGUAAAGCGCACGCAGGUGGUUGAACAAGUCUGACGUGAAAUAUCCCGGCUUAACUGGGAGGGGUCGUUGGAAACUGUUUGGCUUGAGGCAACGAGAGGGGUGUAGAAUUCCCGGUGUAGUGGUGGAAUGCGUAGAUAUCGGGAGGAAUACCAGUGGCGAAAGCGGCACCCUGGCGUUAGCCUGACGCUCAUGUGCGAAGGCGUGGGGAGCGAACGGGAUUAGAAACCCGAGUAGUCC
rnacentral:rRNA from 1 species